CCGCCAUCACCACCACGAAAACACCACUACCUCUGCCACCAGACAAUACCACUACCUCCGUCACCUCCGCUAUCACGACAACGCCACCACCUCCACCACCAUACAUAAAACCACCAUCAUUCCAUCAAAUUUCCAACAAGGGCUGAGGGGAUACCUUGCAGAUUUGUAGCUGGUAGGAAUUGAGUCCGUGGACGACGACAUUGGCUGGGCACAAUGGCAGGGACGAUGGUGUUGGGCGGGUGCUCUCGUCCACCAACACGAGCAGGACCUUCUCUUCUCCUCCCCUUCUCCUUCUUGGGCUAGCCGCGGUGGCGGCGCUCCAGGGUAUGGGAGAGACGUUCAGGACGAGGCGCGGUGCGGGCAGGCCGUCGGGCUCCUCCUUCGGCUUUGGCCUCCUCCCACCCCUCCUAGGUUGGGCGCGGGGGUCCUCCUCCACCGGCAGUACGGUGGCAAGCGGUGGAGCGGGGCUGUUGCAGUAAGCGGCGUCGUGUGGCCGGACGGGCAGCGGCGCACGGGGCGCUUGCGGGUGGGCGGCGCACGUGGGGGCCGGGCUUGUGGCAUUCGGAAAACCUUAAUUAAAAUUCCACAGGUGGCGUGGCCCAGGUUAUUGUAACUUCAUGCAAUAUCAUCCCAGAGAGUUGUGAGUUAUUACAGAGUCUUUAUAACUAUAUUAUAUUUUUUUCCGAGACACAGCAAUGUUCCCAACCAGCAAUUAUUCCUUUAAUUAUAAAAUUGGCCAACAUGACGAAAAUUAGUUUUGCACAUAGAGUUUGCCUUACCAAAGAAAGCGUGAGAAAAAGGGGUCUGGCGCGUACAACGUAAUUAUUACAUACUAUCAAGGGCCAUGAAAUUCUGUGUUUUUGUUUGGAGCUCUUUUACAGUGGUUGGGGGUACUUAUUGGUUCCUCUUGGUUCCUAAGUAAUUUAUUAGUAGUAAUUAAUUUUAUGAGUGGAAGGUUAGUAGGGUAAUUGUGCCUAUCGCUCCUGCCGCAACCCCUCCCCACGCCCAUGCGCUCCGGUACCCGCACGCACUCGGCCAGGCCUCUCCGUGCCCACCCUACCGCUGCCUCGCCAUCACACAUCGUGCCCCUCGUGCGCCGCCGCCGCAGCCUGCCCUCAUUCUUGCACGGCACCGCCGGCGGCAGCCUGCCCUCGGCUGAGCGCACCUCGCUGCCCGCACUCUUCGGCAGCGGGGACAGCCACCACCGCCGCCGCCAAUGGGAGCAUGGACCCCGCCAGAUCUCGCCUCCAACGAAGACUUCACAGGAUGUACGCGGUGCCGCCCUUCGCAGGGGACUGCAGAGGAUGGAUCGCGUGCCCUGGAUGCCGCAGCCCUGCCCUUGCACCCGCCCUUGCCCUGGCAGCCGACACCGCCGCAGCACGGUGAGAACGGAUAAGAGAGAAGAGAGAGUGGCUAGAUCGAGGAGGUAGAGAAAACAUGUGACAAUAUAUUACUUCAAUUCAAUCGAUCAUCGCUAUACUAGGGAGAUAUUAUUUUUCUAAUAUAUAUUUAUCAUUCUACCCUUAAUUACAUAAAUAAAUCUCGAAAAUAGAAUUAUCCUAGUGGGUUUCUUCCACCAAUUUUAAUAUACACUUAGUGCAUAUGACCCUACCGUUUAGUAUGCACUUGGUGCCUCUUCGAUUGGUUCCUCUUGGUUCCUUUGCUUUUUUAGCCGUCGGAUCGGCUCUCGUGGACCGUCCAUUUUUCAACAACCAUCGUAAAAUUUCUCGUUUGUUUUACAUCACCUAAAAAUAGCUGCCUUUGACAAUGGAUGUCGCAGCAUAAAAAGUUGGCAACGGUCCGCCAUCAAAGAUGUAGAGGAACAACAUUCUCAUGCAGCACUAGCUCUUACGCCCUUUGUAUAGUAUAUAUGUGGAAUCAGUUAUUCCUGCUAUAAAAACGACUACGGUUAUUAUAGCCGUUUCUGUU